GGAAAUGUGACACCUCUUGAGAUGAUGAAGAAAGUGGUCUUCUGAAGUUGUUUGGUCUGGAAAAAAACAUUCCCUUUCCUUGUCAAGGUCAUCCUAUUUUCACAAUAGGCAAGCAAGAGGCUGAGUAAAUUUUCUACUGCCCAGUUAUCUUCCGUGAAUUCACAGCCACCUUGGUCAGCUGAGGCAGGUUGCCAAGUAUGAAGUACACUCAAGUUCACUGUUCUGGAUUUUUCUUUUCUCAAGCUCAAGUUCAAGACUCCAGUUUUCCUGAAUGUCUUCUUGGACGACAUCAGCCAUGAGCACAGUAUUUAUCUCAUAGAGAAUUAUGAUAAACCCCCUGAAUGUUUCAUGUUUUUCACGAUUCAUAUGGAACAAAUUAAAAAUAACUUUCCAUGGUACAGAUUGCCCCAGAGAACGGCUCAAAGACUCUUCCUUCCGCCUGCUUCCUCCAGCUUUUCGUCCGCUUCGAAUUUCAGCACCUACAAUCUGAGAGAGGCUGGGGUGACGAGGAUCGCCGGGGAGCACCAGGCCCCUCAUCCCGAGCAGAAUGCAUAUCUGGAGACUUUGUUCGAUGGGCCACCGGGUCCUGUGAAGGAGAGCUGUCUUUUAAGAUGAUUUGUUUAUAGGCAUACACAAUUGGGGAGACUGCUGAUUUUUAUUACUUUGUUCAGAUUUUAAAUAUACUUUGUCAGUCACUUCAGUAAGUAUUUUAAAAGAGAAAAAUGUAAGACCCCAACA